AUACACACACAUAGACAAACAGGGAGGGGUGGAAGGACUGAAGACAGUGGGCUUACUUGAGACUGUUAUCCUUUCAUAAGGUCCCAGCAUAGAAAACAAGGUGCAGAAUUAAAAAUAAACAUUUUUGGGGACUAAUAUGACAUUAACGAGUUUAUAUAGUCUUAUAGGUGCAGUACUGCUCGCACAACUGUCGGGUUUGUUACAGAGCUUCUUUAUUGUUCACAGUGUUCCCUCCAAGUCCUUGUAGAAAGUGAGCAGAAGUAAACCUGGCCACAGUUGCAUCCAAAACAGCAUCAAGUACAUUUUGCCAUAUAACACCUAAAUAACUGCAGCCAGAUAAACUCUGCCAUAUAAAGCCUAAAUAACUGCAGCCAGAUAAACUGUCAUAUAACGCCUAAAUAACUGCAGCCAGAUAAACUGUCAUAUAACACCUAAAUAACUGCAGCCAGAUAAACUCUGCCAUAUAAAGCCUAAAUAACUGCAGCCAGAUAAACUGUCAUAUAACACCUAAAAAACUGCAGCCAGAUAAACUGUGCCAUAUAACACCUAAAUAACUGCAGCCAGAUAAACUGUGUCAUAUAACACCUAAAUAA